AUUGAACGCUGGCGGCAUGCUUUACACAUGCAAGUCGAACGGCAGCGCGGGCUUCGGCCUGGCGGCGAGUGGCGAACGGGUGAGUAAUGCAUCGGAACGCGCCCAGUCGUGGGGGAUAGCCCGGCGAAAGCCGGAUUAAUACCGCAUACGACCUGAGGGUGAACGCGGGGGACCGAAAGGCCUCGCGCUCUUGGAGCGGCCGAUGUCGGAUUAGCUAGUUGGUGGGGUAAAGGCUUACCAAGGCGACGAUCCGUAGCUGGUCUGAGAGGACGACCAGCCACACUGGGACUGAGACACGGCCCAGACUCCUACGGGAGGCAGCAGUGGGGAAUUUUGGACAAUGGGGGCAACCCUGAUCCAGCCAUGCCGCGUGCGGGAAGAAGGCCUUCGGGUUGUAAACCGCUUUUGUUCGGGAAGAAAUCCUCUGGGCUAAUACCCCGGGGGGAUGACGGUACCGGAAGAAUAAGCACCGGCUAACUACGUG
rnacentral:rRNA from 1 species